rnacentral:lncRNA from 1 species
GAGCAUAAAGUAGAGAAUGGGAAAGUGGUUUAGAUGAACCUAGGAGACCCUAGGAUAGUAAACCAUAGGAGAUUAAGGCUCGUGAGAGACGAGGACUUGCGACUUUUGGCGAAAGGUUAAGGGAUUGGGUUGUGUUGUAAACCUCUAAAAAGGAGAUUAGAGGUAGAUCCAAGGUGUUGUCUAUUCUCAACCGAGAGUGUUCAUGUUGGACGCGUACAACAUGAAACCGAGUGAUGAGAAUAGAUGCCCUUGUAUGACUUUCGCCCGAUUUGAGUUGAUGUCAGUUGUCUCGUACUCGACCUAGAAGGUUGAGAGUUAGUUGAGUUGUUAUGUUCUAGGUAACGAUGGCACCGUGUAGGCGAUCUUCGUUUAGAUCGACGCGGGGUGGGACAAGUGAUGUCCCAGAGCAAUCCAAGGCGAGCGGAGAUUUGGAACUUCGCGAACGGUUGGCCACACUUGUGGGUGUGGUGAGGCAACGAGCAGAUGUGGUGCAGCGGCAGCAGGAGGCUGCUAUACACCAGGAGGAGCGAAUUAAGAGACUCCGAAAAAAAAUUGUAGGUGUAAUAUACCGAAACUUCGGUAAGCGAACAUCGAACCUUGGUCAAAUUGACCAAAGAGCGAGGUUGGUACACUUCGGAAAGGCCGAAGGCGUCAAAUAAUGCAAAAGUGCGUUGCUGGGGAUCUUCGAGAGCUUUGGGAAUCAAAAUCUGCAAACUGCAGGUUUUCUGCUCUCGGGGACCGGUCCCUGGUGGGAGAGACCGGUCCCCGCACACGCAGACAGCGAAAGGGAGGAAAAAUCGGCUAAGUCCCCGGUGGACAGCUCUCGGGAACCGGUCCCUGCAGGGAGAGACCGGUCCCGAAGAGACCGGUCCCAUCGGGGGAGACCGGAUGCAUCGUGCGUGAGCCCUGCUGACCGCGGGGAGAGCUCUCGGAGACCGGUCCCUCGUCGGGGAGACCGGUCCCCGAACCUGAAAAUGGCCCAGUUAGGGCAGUGUAAAAGAGUAAAAGUUGAGAGGCUUGUUUGCACUUAUGCAACAUGUGGGGCUAUGUGAGGAGUAUGAGAGCUCUUUUCUCUUAUUUCUCAUCCACACACCCUCUCAUAUCUCUCUUUCUCUCUCUAGAAGACAAGAAGAGGAAGAAGAAAGGAAGGGAAAAGAAAGAGAAAGAGCGGGCUUUGGCAGCCCUCAUGACCUUCAUAAAGUUUGAUCCACCUAUCUUCGACGGAGAGAAUGUCAUUUCGUGGAUUGUGGAUACGUGGAUUGACUCUGUGGAAACGCUCUUCGAGGAGCUGUCUACCUUGGAGCGGGACAGGGUAUCCCUAGCCGUGUAUUGUUUGAAAUAGUCGGCUAAGGCGUGGUGGAAAAGCAUUCGGCGGAACCGAUCACCUAGUAUUCCUCCAUGGCAUGGGAUGAGUUUCGGGGAUUGGUAUCUUCUACUGACUUCCCCCGACAGUUAAAAGAGGAAGCUUCAGGACAAGUUCAGGAAGCUGCGGCAAGGAGACCGCUCAGUUAGAGAGUACGAACGGGAAUUCUCCCUAUCGUGAACUAUGUCCGGGAUAUGGAACCUGCUGCUGACAACGUCAUGGCAGGUAUGAGCCAUUAAUGCAGUCAUGUGUUUCUGCAUAAUGUAAAGUUGGUGCAUUGCAUGCAUUGAGCAUGUAAUUAAUUACUACUAUUUAUGUAGUAGCAUAGUAGGGUCCAAGUGAGCGGAUAAAUGUAAAUACCCGGGCACGCUUAUGUGGUGAAAGCGUUGCACCUGCCGGUGCAGGUAGAGAACUGGAUGGUACUAGCGAGUUGUUAGUGAUGGUCUAAUGAUGAGACUUGUAGUAGAGGUGGAAAUGACGAACCAACUCGCAGAGCAAUGUAUGUAAUUGAUUGCGAGAGUUGUGUCAUGACACUUGUGGACACUCGAAUGGUUUGAGUGUUCUAGAUGUUGCUCCGGUAGAGCGAUUGGCUGCCAAAAUCCGGGCGCGUUGGCCUAGUAGUACCCCGAAUUGAGGUGGGUGAGUCGUGCUCGUGUGGCCGGUGUGCAUGGGCAAAGUUGCCUGAUGCUUGACAUAGUUGGAACGCUAUAGAGGCGCGUAUAGCGCUCGAGUAUAUUUACUCGUGGAGUGCGGAUUUAAUUCAGCCGGAUGAGUGUGUUGGCAGUAGCACCUGAGCAUUGCUAGGUGUGAAGCGUGCCACGGAUCACUCGUGGAGCUGGUGGCUCGCACUUGGUGCAUAGGAGCCGAUAGUGGUACGUAUUGCUCAAUAGAGCGUGUAGUGCGAUUGAUAGUAUACUGAGAGUGCGAGUGUGACCCAACCCGGGAAUCUGUAACGGUUUGGGAUCUUAGUUGCUCCUGGUUGGAGUGUGUGCGAAUUCCCAAGUGAGAAUUUCGCCCCAAUGAUGAUUGGGUCUGCACUGCGAGCGAGAGACGCUGCGUAUUGAGAAAGGUUUAGGCGGUAGGCCUACAUAGUAUUGGUGGCCUUUGGUCCACCUGUGGAGACCGAAGAGGGCGGUUUGGCGGAUAGCCUUAUCGAGGAGUCUAACUCGAAUCCACGAAUGAAGCGUUCGUGUGAACUCGUUGCGAAAUUAGUUCAAUGUUGACCGUGGCAUAUGGUAUUAGAAGAUGAAGUGCUCUUUGUGAGACCUUGAGCUAGUAGCAAGCCACGUGGAAUUUGAGGAUUGGAAUUGGGAUGCGCCGAGGUGGGCCAUCUCAUGUUAGAGCUAAAGAUCGGUGCGGAAUUAGAGCGCUCGCGUGGAAGCGAUGCAUCAGUGAUGUUGCUUUUAAGCACUGUUGGAGAUAGAAUCGGAAUGUAUUCCCUGAAGGGAAAAGUACAUGCAAAGAAGAGUUCUUGCAUGCCAAAUGACAAGUGGGGUUGGAGCGUGUGUAGUCGUUGAAUUUCGACUUGCGCUUCCACCAAGAAUGGUGGAUACCGUAAUGCACUUUGUGGGAUGCACCUUACAAAGUUGUAUAAGUUUGGUAUUGUACCCUCCGUGAUAGUUCUCUUGGAUAGUUCCAAGGAGUGUAAAGCCAUUCCGAAGUGGAAAAGUGCAUUAGUGCUCUCAAUUGCUCGAGGAGCCGAAUUGAGGUGUGAUUUGAGUUUCGCGGACGAAACUCUUUUUAAGGGGUGCGAUGAAUGUAAGUAUUACCAGAUUUUGGUAUAAUAACUAAUAAUAAAUAAAUAGGGAGAAACUAUUUUUAUUGAUUUAUAGAGUAAAAAUAAGUCAAGAGGUGACUUGUGCUUGAAAUGCGGAAUUUAAACAGUAGAUCUAGAAUUUUCUGUUGGAGGGAACAGAAAAAUAAGCCAGAAAAUGCACCUUAAAUAGUCUCAGAAUUAUGUAAAGAUUGGCGGAGAUGUCAGAGAAAUAUUUUAUGGGCUUAGAUAUUAAGGUUUCAAUAUUUUUCUGACACCCAUUAGAUGAUGAAAUUAAAAUCCGAAAGCUAUCUGAUAAAGCAUAUGCUAUGUUCGGCAUCAGUUUUCAGUGACAAAUGGCGAGUUCGAAUGAACCGUGUAUCUGUUCGCUUGUAAGUAAGUAAAUCCGAAUAUGACUGUCAAGUUUAGCUCAAACGGAGAUUCAGGGAGCUCCGCGAAAGUUAUCAGAUUUUAAGCUGCCUGUGAGUGAUAUAGAUGAUUUUUGUGGGUGUAAUGUAUAAGAAGCUUUUGCUUCUUAUCUUAUUCAGACGACACAUUGGACACCCACGCAUGAUUUCUAACCGCGCAUUGGAGAAGGGGAGAUAACCCUUCUUUCUCUCUCUAGAUUGCUCUAUAUUCUCGUAUAUUUAUCGCUCAAAGUUCGCCCUUGUUGUGUGAGAAUAUGCUGCGAACACGUUGGAGGGCGCGAUUGAGCUUUCGUGCCGACGUUGAGCGGUGUGUUUACGUCGCGGGUUCCAUUGAGGUAGCUUUAAGAUUUGGCUUAUCCUUAGCUUUAAGUUUCUAAUAGCCUUCUAAUGAGCUUUAGUUAGCAUGUUGCAUUUUCAUUUAUAUUUUGGAUUAUUUUGAGUAAUAACAUAUUAGGGUCGAAUGUAGGUUUUGCUUCAAAAUAUAAGGGGUUAUGAUCUAAUUUGACCCUCCGUAACCUAAUUGCUAGUAAGACGGAACGCUAGGUUGGCGAAGACGGUUAUGAGCAAUUUUCGCACGAGCCGGAUUGCCGAAGCUUAUUAAAGAAACGGAGUUUAGGCUUCGGGUCCGCGAGGGCGACCGGCGGAUAUCUGUAAAUUACAUGAAAUGGAUUUGAAGCUCGUCGGCACAAACCGAAGCGCUUUUAAUUUUUCGGAUCGUGAAUUGGAGGCCAUAUCGGUGGCGCUGUGAGAGGAUUCGACCAAACGGUUAGGGUGACGCGGGGGCCGAUUGCAGUGCUCGACAAGGCAAUGCGGAGAUGCAAAUGAGGUGGGUUGUGAUCAGAGCGAUUAGGUCGAUUUCAUGUGCUAAAGUGUAGUAUGUUUACUAUUGAUGCUGAUAAACGUAUGUGUUUUAAGAAUGCAUUGAUAAAAUUAAGUGUGCUAUUUGAGAAUGCAUUGAUAAGAGUAUGCUAAUUAAAGAAAUGAAUGAUUAAAGAUAGAUGCAAAUGAAUGCAUGAGUUGAUGUUAAUUUAUAUGUGUCUAUUAUAGAAAAUGCUAAAUAUUUGAUGUCUCAAAUGAAAGUAUAGAUUGGUAACAACUGAGAAUGCAUUAUAAAUGUUUAACGAUGCAUAAAAUGCUAAGUAAUUGACUACAAUGGUGACAAAUAUAUGCAUGUUGAACAUAGAUCGAGUGGAUUGAAAUGUAAAGUGGAGCUAGAGUUAGUUGUGGCGACAUCAUAGAUAAAUGUGAUUAGUAUAAGAACAAUGAUAAUGGUAAUAUGAUAAUGUAAAAUAAUGUGAUUGAUAAUUAAUGUAAUGGUUUGAUGUAUGUGAGUACACGUUUGCUUAUUAGAAAAUGAUUAAAGAUCUAAAAUAAUCUUAUGUGUAAUGCAUGAAUGUAAUGUGGCAAACUACGAUGAUUAAUGGUUGAGACAAGGAGCAAAGCAUGCUGAUGUAAAAGUAUAAUGUUAAUGGCUAAGACAAUGUAAUGUAAGUGUGGAAUUAAAGGACGUGUAAAGUUAAGAAUGUGAAAGCUAAGAUAGCUUAAAUAAAAGGAAUGCUGAAAGCUGAUUGCUAGGGAGUAGCAAAAGUAAAGAGAUUGUAGAAGAACAAUGUUGCUAGAGAAAAAAAAUAAAAAAAAAUAAAAAAAAAAAAAAAAAAAAUAAAAAAAAAAAAAAAAACUGGCACAUAAGUGAUCGUAAAAAAAACUGAGUUAGUGUAAAGCAUGAUUCAAUACAAAUCCUUGAGCUUAGGAUAUGAUCAUAUUUGCUUAUGAUGUUCCUGUGGCACUCGAGGAGCGGUCGCUCCCCCGAAUCGGGCGAUGCGGAUCCGGAUGUUUUUGGCAUCCGGGUUGGAGGAGUAGACCCGUAAGACGUCCUAAGUUGGUGGUUCCUGACGGAUGAUGACUUAAUGUGAAGCAAGUUGAAUGUGGCGAAACCCCGGUGUUAGCCGUUGAGAUUAAGAACAAAGAACAGAAAAGCGUCAAUUCAUGGAUGGAAGUUGAUUUGUAUUCAUUAUGAAUUGACUCAGAACCGAGAUCGGUGGCAUAGGUUGGCUAGGGUAAAGCGCUAGACACUGUGAAAGAUAUGAAAUGAGAAAGAAUGAUAAUUGGAGAAACGUUUGUGAUAUGUUAUAAAGAAUAAGCAAAUGUGAUUAUAAUGCGCCCUAAGGUGCAUGAGCCUUAGCAAGAAUAAAGAAUAUAAGAAUAAGAAGAAUAAAAGAAUAAAGAAUAAAGAAUAAAGAAUAAAUUGAUUAAAGAAUAAGAAUGGCUAUAAUGAUAAAAGAAUUUGCAUACAUUUUCUAAAGAAAGGACUUAAUGUAAAGGAAUGAUAAGAGUUGCAUUAAUUUUGCAUAUUUGUGAAGCAUGCAAUAUGUAUUGGAUGAUGUAUAUAUUUUUAUAUCUGUUGGACUAAAUGUUGCAGUGCCUCCUUUGGACCUGGUGGGUUGAGCUUUUCACUUGGGUGGCUGUACCCACUGACGACUAUGGACAAUAGUCUCACCCCCGUGUUGUUGUUUUUGGGGGUACAGGUUCACACGCGAGCGGCGCGGCGGCGCGAGGAAAGGGCGUAGCUCCGUAGUUAGCGCCCUACCACAGAGACCAGAUAGCAGCACCCUGAGUCGGCUUCUUAGGGGUAUAAGAAAAGAAAAGAAAAGAAUCGAUGUUGUAAUAUUAUGUUUAGAAAUCGAUUGUAUAUUUGGAAGUUGAGAAUCAAUGUAAUGAAAAAUGCGAUGUAAAAUGAUGAGAUGAAUGAUUGUAAUAAUAUAGGAUGUGUUAUGUUGUUUGAUACCUUCCUUAUGCAAUCGUUGUUGAUAAUUGUUCCUGUUUGGAACCUCUUGUAAUUGUAUUGAUUGCGACGCCUUGAACGUACAGGGGAGACUCUGUCCGCGUGCAGGGGAAACCCUGUCCGUUCGGCGGUCUGUUGGCGUGCCCGAAUCCGACCAAAGAGGCGGGCUCGGGGCGUGACAGGUAAGAUGGUAUCAGAGCAUAAAGUAGAGAAUGGGAAAGUGGUUUAGAUGAACCUAGGAGACCCUAGGAUAGUAAACCAUAGGAGAUUAAGGCUCGUGAGAGACGAGGACUUGUGACUUUUGGCGAAAGGUUAAGGGAUUGGGUUUUGUUGUAAACCUCUAAAAAGGAGAUUAGAGGUAGAUCCAAGGUGAUGUCUAUUCUCAACCGAGGGUGUUCAUGUUGGACGCGUACAACAUGAAACCGAGUGAUGAGAAUAGAUGACCUUGUAUGACUUUCGCCCGAUUUGAGUUGAUGUCAGUUGUCUCGUACUCGACCUAGAAGGUUGAGAGUUAGUUGAGUUGUUAUGUUCUAGGUAACGAUGGCACCCCGUAGGCGAUCUUCGUUUAGAUCGACGCGGG